rnacentral:tRNA from 1 species
UCCCUUGUAGCUCAGUCUGCAAAGAAUCUGCUUGUAAUGCAGGAGACCUAGGUUCAAUUCCUGGGUUGGGAA